AGUGGCGGACGGGUGAGUAACGCGUGAGGAUCUGCCCUUAGGAGGGGGAUAACGACUGGAAACGGUCGCUAAUACCGCAUAUGCCGAGAGGUGAAAUGAUUAAUUGCCUGAGGAUGAACUCGCGUCUGAUUAGCUAGUUGGAGUGGUAACGGCACACCAAGGCGACGAUCAGUAGCUGGUCUGAGAGGAUGAUCAGCCACACUGGGACUGAGACACGGCCCAGACUCCUACGGGAGGCAGCAGUGGGGAAUUUUCCGCAAUGGGCGAAAGCCUGACGGAGCAAGACCGCGUGAGGGAGGAAGGCCUACUGGUUGUAAACCUCUUUUGAUAGGGAAGAACACAAUGACGGUACCUAUCGAAUCAGCCUCGGCUAACUCCGUGCCAGCAGCCGCGGUAAUACGGAGGAGGCAAGCGUUAUCCGGAAUUAUUGGGCGUAAAGCGUCCGUAGGUGGUUUAUCAAGUCAGUUGUUAAAGCGUGGAGCUUAACUCCAUAAGGGCAAUUGAAACUGAUAGGCUAGAGUGCGAUAGGGGCAAGGGGAAUUCCCAGUGUAGCGGUGAAAUGCGUAGAUAUUGGGAAGAACAUCGGUGGCGAAAGCGCCUUGCUGGGUCUGCACUGACACUGAGGGACGAAAGCUAGGGGAGCGAAAGGGAUUAGAUACCCCUGUAGUCCUAGCCGUAAACGAUGGAUACUAGGCGUUGU
rnacentral:rRNA from 1 species